rnacentral:miRNA from 1 species
UAGCGGAAGUAUUCCAACUUC